CAAAUCAUCAUCGUCCCCUUAUCGACCGUGGGCUACACACGUGCUACAAUGGUUGGUACAACGAGUUGCGAGUCGGUGACGGCGAGCUAAUCUCUUAAAGCCAAUCUCAGUUCGGAUUGUAGGCUGCAACUCGCCUACAUGAAGUCGGAAUCGCUAGUAAUCGCGGAUCAGCACGCCGCGGUGAAUACGUUCCCGGGCCUU
rnacentral:rRNA from 1 species